ACAUAUCCAAAGGACUUCUUAAAGUCCAUAAAAAUUCCAUUAAAACACCAUUAAAGCAUGAUGUACAAUCCUCUAAAGCACAACAUAAUUUGGUUUUCCUAUUCUACCCUCACUCACAAAACAAGGCGGAGAACAAAACCACGUUAUCAGCUCAUUAGGGUUUCUGUCUUUCACAUCCGCCCCAUUUCUUCUCCCUCUCUCUCACCAGGCGAUAACCCUUGAUCGAUGGAUUUCACUGCCGAAUUCACUGGAUCGACGGAUUUCACCUGCGAAUCCACAUCUCAGGGUUUUUUCUCCGGCUAUGACCCUAGAUCGAUGGUUUUUUCUGUCGAAUCCACAUCUCAGGGUUUCUUUCUCCAGCGAUGACCCUUGAGCGAUGGAUUUCACCGGCGUUUUCAAAUCUCAGGGUUUAUUUCUCCGGCGAUAACCC